rnacentral:rRNA from 1 species
AUUGAACGCUGGCGGAAUGCUUUACACAUGCAAGUCGAACGGCAGCACGGACUUCGGUCUGGUGGCGAGUGGCGAACGGGUGAGUAAUGUAUCGGAACGUGCCCAGUUGUGGGGGAUAACGUAGCGAAAGCUACGCUAAUACCGCAUACGAUCUACGGAUGAAAGCGGGGGAUCGCAAGACCUCGCGCGAUUGGAGCGGCCGAUAUCAGAUUAGGUUGUUGGUGAGGUAAAAGCUCACCAAGCCUGCGAUCUGUAGCUGGUCUGAGAGGACGACCAGCCACACUGGAACUGAGACACGGUCCAGACUCCUACGGGAGGCAGCAGUGGGGAAUUUUGGACAAUGGACGCAAGUCUGAUCCAGCAAUGCCGCGUGCAGGACGAAGGCCUUCGGGUUGUAAACUGCUUUUGUACGGAACGAAACGGUGAGCUCUAAUACAGUUUGCUAAUGACGGUACCGUAAGAAUAAGCACCGGCUAACUACGUGCCAGCAGCCGCGGUAA